UGAUCCUGCCNGNACCUGACUGCUAUNGGAUUGAUACUAAGCCAUGCGAGUCAUUGUAGCAAUACAAGGCAGACGGCUCAGUAACGCGUAGUCAACCUAACCUAUGGACGGGAAUAACCUCGGGAAACUGAGAAUAAUGCCCGAUAGAACACUAUACCUGGAAUGGUUUGUGUUCCAAAUGAUUUAUCGCCGUAGGAUGGGACUGCGGCCUAUCAGUUUGUUGGUGAGGUAAUGGCCCACCAAGACUAUUACAGGUACGGGCUCUGAGAGGAGUAGCCCGGAGAUGGGUACUGAGACACGGACCCAGGCCCUAUGGGGCGCAGCAGGCGAGAAAACUUUGCAAUGUGCGAAAGCACGACAAGGUUAAUCCGAGUGGUCUCUGCUAAAGGAACCUUUUGUCGGUCCUAGAAACACCGAUGAAUAAGGGGUGGGCAAGUUCUGGUGUCAGCCGCCGCGGUAAAACCAGCACCUCAAGUGGUCAGGAUGAUUAUUGGGCCUAAAGCAUCCGUAGCCGGCGCUAUAAGUUUUCGGUUAAAUCUGUACGCUCAACGUACAGGCUGCCGGGAAUACUGUAGCGCUAGGGAGUGGGAGAGGUAGACGGUACUCGGUAGGAAGGGGUAAAAUCCUUUGAUCUAUUGAUGACCACCUGUGGCGAAGGCGGUCUACCAGAACACGUCCGACGGUGAGGGAUGAAAGCUGGGGGAGCAAACCGGAUUAGAUACCCGGGUAGUCCCAGCUGCAAACUAUGCAAACUCAGUGAUGCAUUGGCUUGUGGCCAAUGCAGUGCUGCAGGGAAGCCGUUAAGUUUGCCGCCUGGGAAGUACGUACGCAAGUAUGAAACUUAAAGGAAUUGGCGG
rnacentral:rRNA from 1 species